CCUACGGGAGGCAGCAGUGGGGAAUUUUGGACAAUGGGCGCAAGCCUGAUCCAGCAAUGCCGCGUGCAGGAUGAAGGCCUUCGGGUUGUAAACUGCUUUUGUACGGAACGAAACGGUCUGCCCUAAUACGGCGGGCUAAUGACGGUACCGUAAGAAUAAGCACCGGCUAACUCACAGGCCAACAGCCGCGGUAAU
rnacentral:rRNA from 1 species